rnacentral:rRNA from 1 species
AUCAACUUUCGAUGGUAGGAUAGAGNNCAACCAUGGCGGUAACGGGUAACGGGGUGUUAGGGCACGACACCGGAGAGGGAGCCUGAGAAACGGCUACCACAUCCAAGGAUGGCAGCAGGCGCGCAAAUUACCCAAUCCCGACACGGGGAGGUAGUGACAAUAAAUAACAAUACGGGGUUCUUUUGGAUUUCGUAAUUGGAAUGAGUACAAUUUAAAUCUCUUAACGAGGAACAAUUGGAGGGCAAGUCUGGUGCCAGCAGCCGCGGUAAUUCCAGCUCCAAUAGCGUAUAUUAAAGUUGUUGCAGUUAAAAAGCUCGUAGUUGAAUUUCGGGGUUAGUAGGCUGGUCAUGCCACAGGUAUGCACUGGUCUUACUGAUUCCUCCUUCCUGAUGAACCGUAAUGCCAUUAAUUUGGUGUUGCGGGGAGUCUGGACUGUUACUUUGAAAAAAUUAGAGUGUUUAAAGCAGGCUAACGCUUGAAUACAUUAGCAUGGAAUAACGAAAUAGGACGUUCGAUCUUAUUUUGUUGGUUUCUAGGAUUGACGUAAUGAUUAAUAGGGAUAGUUGGGGGCAUUAGUAUUCAAUUGUCAGAGGUGAAAUUCUUGGAUUUAUUGAAGACUAACUACUGCGAAAGCAUUUGCCAAGGAUGUUUUCAUUAAUCAAGAACGAAAGUUAGGGGAUCGAAGACGAUCAGAUACCGUCGNAGUCUUAACCAUAAACUAUGCCCACUAGGGAUCGGAUGAUGUUAAUUUUAUAAUGACUCAUUCGGCGCUCUACGGGAAACAAAGUGUU